GACGAACGCUGGCGGCGUGCUUAACACAUACAAGUCGAACGGAAAGGCCCUGCUUUUGUGGGGUGCUCGAGUGGCGAACGGGUGAGUAACACGUGAGUAACCUGCCCUUGACUUUGGGAUAACUUCAGGAAACUGGGGCUAAUACCGGAUAGGAGCUCCUGCUGCAUGGUGGGGGUUGGAAAGUUUCGGCGGUUGGGGAUGGACUCGCGGCUUAUCAGCUUGUUGGUGGGGUAGUGGCUUACCAAGGCUUUGACGGGUAGCCGGCCUGAGAGGGUGACCGGCCACAUUGGGACUGAGAUACGGCCCAGACUCCUACGGGAGGCAGCAGUGGGGAAUAUUGCACAAUGGGCGGAAGCCCGAUGCAGCAACGCCGCGUGCGGGAUGACGGCCUUCGGGUUGUAAACCGCUUUCGCCUGUGACGAAGCGUGAGUGACGGUAAUGGGUAAAGAAGCACCGGCUAACUACGUG
rnacentral:rRNA from 1 species